GAUGAACGCUGGCGGCGUGCCUAAUACAUGCAAGUCGAGCGAAUGGAUUAAGAGCUUGCUCUUAUGAAGUUAGCGGCGGACGGGUGAGUAACACGUGGGUAACCUGCCCAUAAGACUGGGAUAACUCCGGGAAACCGGGGCUAAUACCGGAUAACAUUUUGAACCGCAUGGUUCGAAAUUGAAAGGCGGCUACGGCUGUCACUUAUGGAUGGCCCCGCGUCGCAUUAGCGAGUUGGUGAGGUAACGGCUCACCAAAGCAACGAUGCGUAGCCGACCUGAGAGGGUGAUCGGCCACACUGGGACUGAGACACGGCCCAGACUCCUACGGGAGGCAGCAGUAGGGAAUCUUCCGCAAUGGACGAAAGUCUGACGGAGCAACGCCGCGUGAGUGAUGAAGGCUUUCGGGUCGUAAAACUCUGUUGUUAGGGAAGAACAAGUGCUAGUUGAAUAAGCUGGCACCUUGACGGUACCUAACCAGAAAGCCACGGCUAACUACGUGCCAGCCGCCGCCGUAA
rnacentral:rRNA from 1 species